rnacentral:rRNA from 1 species
GACGACCGCUGGCGGCGUGCUUAACACAUGCAAGUCGAACGAAGUGUCGAACGGGUGAGUAAUACGUGGGUAACCUGCCCUCCUUUUUGGGAUAAGCCUUGGCAACGGGGUCUAAUACCGCAUAAAGGGGGAUGGGCUCGCGGCCUAUCAGCUUGUUGGUGGGGUGAUGGCCUACCAAGGCGGUGACGGGUAGCCGGCCUGAGAGGGUGAACGGCCACAUUGGGACUGAGGUACGGCCCAGACUCCGACGGGAGGAAGCAGUGGGGGAUAUUGAACAAGGGGCGAAAGCCUGAUGCAGCGACGCCGCGUGGGGGAUGAAGGCUUUCGGGUUGUAAACCUCUUUCGAGAUAGAACGGGGAGGUGGAGAAGAAGCGCCGGCUAACUACGUGCCAGCAGCCGCGGUAAUAC